GUUUAUUAGACUCACACAGCCCUUGCUGCUGUCUCUUGUCCUGUAAAGGACCUGGAAGAGGGAGUGGUCCACUUUAGCUGCAAACAAGGGCGCUUUUUAUUUUUUUAAGAAUUACGUUUGAUAAGUAUGCCUAGGCGAUACAAGGGAUGUGAACGACUUUCAGAGAGAUUGUGAAUAUUAUUUGGUGCAUACUAAAAAGCCGGAAAUCCCUAAAUAAAUGCAGUAAGGAUAGAAAGCAAGUUUCUUGAAGAGUCACCUGCUAAACUCUACUAGCGUCUUCUCUACAGAAAAGCCAGUAUUGCCAGAAUCAAUUAAUAAAUAAUCCAUCCUGUCAUCCCCUGGACCUACAGUCAGUCCACUCUGCCUCAUAUUCCGUUUCCUUGUGCAAACUUAUUUCUGGCUCUCUAAUCUGUCCUGUCACAGGACACCUUCCUCCUCACUUCUGGACUCCGACCUCCCAUACCAGGCCGUUCUUAUCUCACUGGGCCUCUGACAGAAGACACCGCACCAUCUGCCUGUGUGUGGAGAUCUUGUCGUUCUGCCUGGGAUCUGACAGUGCAGAACUCUCUGCACGACCCCCUCAAGCUAUUCUAGCUCCAGCAUCUCUUGCCAAACUCGAUGGGAGUUUACCUAAUUUCUGUCACUUACACUGAGGCUUUCCUCAACUGCAUCCAUCCUCACCCUAUCAGGUCCUGGCGCCGAAGUCAGGUGUCACCCCACGUGUGACUGGCAUCCUCACCUUGCCUAAGCUCUGCUCCCUGAGCUGGGACAUUUGCCUUCCUCACUGUGUUCCUUACAGUCUCUUCAGGAUCAAAAUAACAGAAUUAAACUCUCCCUGAGCUCAGAUGAUAGCUUUCAAAGAACAAAGUAAAAAGAGCAGGGUCCAAAAGGGUCCUACUGUCCCUCAGCAAAUAUUGUAUUAAGAAAUAUCUUCCCAAUUUAUGAGCAGAGGGAAAAACCAAUUAUGUAUAUAAGUGGACUUUGCUGUGCCCGUAUAUAUGGGCAUUCCAGGUGGCUCAGUGGUAAAGAAUCUCUGCCCCUGGAAGAGACUCAAGAGACUCAGGUUUGAUCUCUGGGUUGGGAGGAUUCCCUGGAGGAGGAAAUGGCAAACCACUCCAGUAUUUUUGCCCGGAGACUCUCAAGGACAGAGAAUCCUGGUGGGCUACAGUUCAUAGAGUCACAAAGAGUGGGACAUGCUGAAUUGGCAUAGCAUGCGUAUAUAUAUGCAGAUGAAAUAAUGCUACAUGGUUUUUAGUGAAUAAAUAUUUUAAUA
ensembl:lncRNA